AUUGAACGCUGGCGGCAUGCCUUACACAUGCAAGUCGAACGGCAGCACGGGAGCAAUCCUGGUGGCGAGUGGCGAACGGGUGAGUAAUAUAUCGGAACGUGCCCAGUCGUGGGGAUAACGUAGCGAAAGCUACGCUAAUACCGCAUACGAUCUAUGGAUGAAAGCGGGGGAUCGCAAGACCUCGCGCGAUUGGAGCGGCCGAUAUCAGAUUAGGUAGUUGGUGAGGUAAAGGCUCACCAAGCCGACGAUCUGUAGCUGGUCUGAGAGGACGACCAGCCACACUGGGACUGAGACACGGCCCAGACUCCUACGGAGGCAGCAGUGGGGAAUUUUUGGACAAUGGGCGCAAGCCUGAUCCAGCAAUGCCGCGUGCAGGAUGAAGGCCCUCCGGGUUGUGACUGCUUUUGUACGGAACGGAAAAGGUUUAGU
rnacentral:rRNA from 1 species